UAGUAUCUGCCCUUGGUGGUAAUAACACGAGGAAAGUGUGCAAAUACGGAUAAGUCUUACGGAGAAAGCUGUAUGCACCAUUGGAUGAGCCUGCACUAGAUGAGAUUGACGGGGGAGUAAUGGCCUACCAAGACUGUGAUCAAUAGGUGAUUGGAAAGGAUGAUCAGACAGAUCGUGCCGGGCCCUGGGCCCACACUCAUACGGGAGGCAGCAGUGGGGAAUCUUGCACAAUGGAGGAAACUCUGAUGCAGCGAUGCCGCGUGAGUGAAGAAGGCCCUUGGGUUGUAAAGCUCUUUCGUCGGGGAAGAAAAUGACUGUACCCGAAUAAGAAGGUCCGGCUGACUUCGUGCCAGCAGCCGCGGUAAUACGAAGGGACCUAGCGUAGUUCGGAAUUACUGGGCUUAAAGAGUUCGUAGGUGGUUGAAAAAGUUGGUGGUGAAAU
rnacentral:rRNA from 1 species